GGGUUGUGAGGUUAAGCGACUAAGCGUACACGGUGGAUGCCCUGGCAGUCAGAGGCGAUGAAGGACGUGCUAAUCUGCGAUAAGCGUCGGUGAGGUGAUAUGAACCGUUAUAACCGGCGAUUUCCGAAUGGGGAAACCCAGUGUGUUUCGACACACUAUCAUUAACUGAAUCCAUAGGUUAAUGAGGCGAACCGGGGGAACUGAAACAUCUAAGUACCCCGAGGAAAAGAAAUCAACCGAGAUUCCCCCAGUAGCGGCGAGCGAACGGGGAGGAGCCCAGAGCCUGAAUCAGUGUGUGUGUUAGUGGAAGCGUCUGGAAAGGCGCGCGAUACAGGGUGACAGCCCCGUACACAAAAAUGCACAUAUUGUGAGCUCGAUGAGUAGGGCGGGACACGUGGUAUCCUGUCUGAAUAUGGGGGGACCAUCCUCCAAGGCUAAAUACUCCUGACUGACCGAUAGUGAACCAGUACCGUGAGGGAAAGGCGAAAAGAACCCCGGCGAGGGGAGUGAAAAAGAACCUGAAACCGUGUACGUACAAGCAGUGGGAGCCUCUUAAUGGGGUGACUGCGUACCUUUUGUAUAAUGGGUCAGCGACUUAUAUUCUGUAGCAAGGUUAACCGAAUAGGGGAGCCGAAGGGAAACCGAGUCUUAACUGGGCGUUAAGUUGCAGGGUAUAGACCCGAAACCCGGUGAUCUAGCCAUGGGCAGGUUGAAGGUUGGGUAACACUAACUGGAGGACCGAACCGACUAAUGUUGAAAAAUUAGCGGAUGACUUGUGGCUGGGGGUGAAAGGCCAAUCAAACCGGGAGAUAGCUGGUUCUCCCCGAAAGCUAUUUAGGUAGCGCCUCGUGAAUUCAUCUCCGGGGGUAGAGCACUGUUUCGGCAAGGGGGUCAUCCCGACUUACCAACCCGAUGCAAACUGCGAAUACCGGAGAAUGUUAUCACGGGAGACACACGGCGGGUGCUAACGUCCGUCGUGAAGAGGGAAACAACCCAGACCGCCAGCUAAGGUCCCAAAGUCAUGGUUAAGUGGGAAACGAUGUGGGAAGGCCCAGACAGCCAGGAUGUUGGCUUAGAAGCAGCCAUCAUUUAAAGAAAGCGUAAUAGCUCACUGGUCGAGUCGGCCUGCGCGGAAGAUGUAACGGGGCUAAACCAUGCACCGAAGCUGCGGCAGCGACGCUUAUGCGUUGUUGGGUAGGGGAGCGUUCUGUAAGCCUGUGAAGGUGUGCUGUGAGGCAUGCUGGAGGUAUCAGAAGUGCGAAUGCUGACAUA
rnacentral:rRNA from 1 species